rnacentral:tRNA from 1 species
GGGCGGGUAGCGAAGUGGUCAACCGCGGCAGACUGUAAAUCUGCUCUCUCCGAGUUCGGGGGUUCGAAUCCCUCCCCGCCCACCA